GACGAACGCUGGCGGCGUGCUUAACACAUGCAAGUCGAACGGUGAACUCGAGAGCUUGCUCUUGAGGGAUCAGUGGCGAACGGGUGAGUAACACGUGAGUAACCUGCCCCAGACUCUGGAAUAACACCUGGAAACAGGUGCUAAUACCGGAUACGACACGAACAGGCAUCUGUAUCGUGUGGAAAGUUUUUCGGUCUGGGAUGGACUCGCGGCCUAUCAGCUAGUUGGUGAGGUAAAGGCUCACCAAGGCGACGACGGGUAGCCGGCCUGAGAGGGCGACCGGCCACACUGGGACUGAGACACGGCCCAGACUCCUACGAGAGGCAGCAGUGGGGAAUAUUGCACAAUGGGCGAAAGCCUGAUGCAGCGACGCCGCGUGAGGGAUGACGGCCUUCGGGUUGUAAACCUCUUUCAGUAGGGAAGAAGCGAAAGUGACGGUACCUACAGAAGAAGCACCGGCUAACUACGUGCCAGCAGCCGCCGCCGUAA
rnacentral:rRNA from 1 species